rnacentral:rRNA from 1 species
GUGGCGAACGGGUGAGUAACACGUGGGCAAUCUGCCCUGCACUCUGGGACAAGCCCUGGAAACGGGGUCUAAUACCGGAUAUGACCAUCUUGGGCAUCCUUGAUGGUGUAAAGCUCCGGCGGUGCAGGAUGAGCCCGCGGCCUAUCAGCUUGUUGGUGAGGUAAUGGCUCACCAAGGCGACGACGGGUAGCCGGCCUGAGAGGGCGACCGGCCACACUGGGACUGAGACACGGCCCAGACUCCUACGGGAGGCAGCAGUGGGGAAUAUUGCACAAUGGGCGAAAGCCUGAUGCAGCGACGCCGCGUGAGGGAUGACGGCCUUCGGGUUGUAAACCUCUUUCAGCAGGGAAGAAGCGAAAGUGACGGUACCUGCAGAAGAAGCGCCGGCUAACUACGUGCCAGCAGCCGCGGUAAUACGUAGGGCGCAAGCGUUGUCCGGAAUUAUUGGGCGUAAAGAGCUCGUAGGCGGCUUGUCACGUCGGUUGUGAAAGCCCGGGGCUUAACCCCGGGUCUGCAGUCGAUAC